rnacentral:rRNA from 1 species
AGCGAACGCUGGCGGCAGGCCUAACACAUGCAAGUCGAACGAACUCUUCGGAGUUAGAGGCGGACGGGUGAGUAACACGUGGGAACGUGCCUUUUGGUUCGGAAUAACUCAGGGAAACUUGUGCUAAUACCGAAUGCGCCCUUCGGGGGAAAGAUUUAUCGCCAUUAGAGCGGCCCGCGUCUGAUUAGCUAGUUGGUGAGGUAACGGCUCACCAAGGCGACGAUCAGUAGCUGGUCUGAGAGGAUGACCAGCCACACUGGGACUGAGACACGGCCCAGACUCCUACGGGAGGCAGCAGUGGGGAAUCUUGCGCAAUGGGCGAAAGCCUGACGCAGCCAUGCCGCGUGAAUGAUGAAGGUCUUAGGAUUGUAAAAUUCUUUCACCGGGGACGAUAAUGACGGUACCCGGAGAAGAAGCCCCGGCUAACUUCGUG